UUUGCCAGCGAGUAAUGUCGGGAACUCCAGGGAGACUGCCGGUGAUAAACCGGAGGAAGGUGGGGACGACGUCAAGUCAUCAUGGCCCUUACGAGUAGGGCUACACACGUGCUACAAUGGCGCAUACAGAGGGCAGCGAACUUGCGAGAGUGAGCGAAUCCCAAAAAGUGCGUCGUAGUCCGGAUUGGAGUCUGCAACUCGACUCCAUGAAGUCGGAAUCGCUAGUAAUCGUAGAUCAGAAUGCUACGGUGAAUACGUUCCCGGGCCUUGUACACACCGCCCGUCACACCAUGGGAGUGGGCUGCAAAAGAAGUGGGUAGUUUAACCUUUCGGGGAGGACGCUCACCACUUUGUGGUUCAUGACUGGGGUGAAGUCGUAACAAGGUAGCCCUAGGGGAACCUGGGGCUGGAUCACCUCCUUAUACGAAGAUA
rnacentral:rRNA from 1 species